UGUUGGUUAAAAAAAUCAAUGAUUCAGAUAUUUAUGAGAGAUUUAUUUUCUAUCUGGUUUGAUUUGAUUUCUCAGGCACCAUAACUAUGUGAGGGUUAGUCUUCAGAAUAAUCAUGAUCAUUCAGAAAGAUGAAACUGUAUUUAAUGACAAUAUUCUGGAGGCUAUAUCCCUGCAUGUUAUGAUACGGUCUAUUGCAAAAAGUUUUGUGCAUGAAGGAAAAGGUUCGGCUUACCCGCAGAACAAAAGAGCAGCUCUAGUCAUUCGUUCAGGAUUUGAUUACGUAAGAUACACAGUGGCACAAACAAUGAGCCUGGUUGCUUAGUAACCAGGGUAGAUAGGAAUAUCUAGAGUGACA
rnacentral:lncRNA from 1 species